rnacentral:rRNA from 1 species
UACGAAGGGGGCUAGCGUUGUUCGGAAUUACUGGGCGUAAAGGGCGCGUAGGCGGUGUGUCAAGUCAGGCGUGAAAGCCCCGGGCUCAACCUGGGAACCGCGCUUGAGACUGGCACGCUCGAGUUCGGGAGAGGAUGGUGGAAUUCCCAGUGUAGAGGUGAAAUUCGUAGAUAUUGGGAAGAACACCGAUGGCGAAGGCAGCCAUCUGGACCGACACUGACGCUGAGGCGCGAAAGCUAGGGAGCAAACGGG